GUGGGGAAUCUUGCGCAAUGCGCGAAAGCGUGACGCAGCAACGCCGCGUGGGGGAAGAAGGCCUUCGGGUCGUAAACCCCUUUCAGGAGGGACGAAGCCUCGGGAGUGAAUAGCUCUCCGGGGUGACGGUACCUCAAUAAGAAGCCCCGGCUAACUACGUGCCAGCAGCCGCGGUAAUACGUAGGGGGCUAGCGUUGUCCGGAAUCAUUGGGCGUAAAGCGCGCGUAGGCGGUCAGGUAAGUCCGGUGUGAAAGUCAAAGGCUCAACCUUUGAAUGCCGCUGGAUACUGCUUGACUUGAGUCCGGAAGGGGCGAGUGGAAUUCCUGGUGUAGCGGUGAAAUGCGCAGAUAUCAGGAGGAACACCAAUGGCGAAGGCAGCUCGCUGGAACGGUACUGACGCUGAGGCGCGAAAGCGUGGGGAGCAAACAGGAUUAGAAACCCUAGUAGUCC
rnacentral:rRNA from 1 species